rnacentral:rRNA from 1 species
UGCAAGUCGGACGAGAAGCUUCCUUCGGGAAGUGGAAAGUGGCAAACGGGGUAGUAAGGCGUAGGUGACGUACCCUCAAGUCCGGGAUAGCCACGGGAAACCGUGAUUAAUACCGGAUAAUCUCUCAGAGUAUGGUGCUUUGAGAGCAAAGGUGUGAUUCCGCUGGAGGAGCGGCUUACGUGAUAUUAGGUAGUUGGUGAGGUAACGGCUCACCAAGCCUCAGAUGUCUAGGGGGUGUGAGAGCAUGGCCCCCACCACUGGGACUGAGACACUGCCCAGACACCUACGGGUGGCUGCAGUCGAGAAUCUUCGGCAAUGGACGCAAGUCUGACCGAGCGACGCCGCGUGCGGGAUGAAGGCCCUUGGGUUGUAAACCGCUGUCAGAGGGGAUGAAAUGCGAGAGGGCUAUCCCUCUCGUUUGACAGAGCCUCAGAGGAAGCACGGGCUAAGUACGUGCCAGCAGCCGCGGUAACACGUACUGUGCGAACGUUAUUCGGAAUCACUGGGCUUAAAGGGUGCGUAGGCGGUUUAGUAAGUAGGGUGUGAAAUGCCAG